rnacentral:rRNA from 1 species
AUUGAACGCUGGCGGCAGGCUUAACACAUGCAAGUCGAGCGGGGUGAUGGUGCUUGCACUAUCACUUAGCGGCGGACGGGUGAGUAAUGCUUAGGAAUCUGCCUAUUAGUGGGGGACAACAUCUCGAAAGGGAUGCUAAUACCGCAUACGUCCUACGGGAGAAAGCAGGGGAUCACUUGUGACCUUGCGCUAAUAGAUGAGCCUAAGUCGGAUUAGCUAGUUGGUGGGGUAAAGGCCUACCAAGGCGACGAUCUGUAGCGGGUCUGAGAGGAUGAUCCGCCACACUGGGACUGAGACACGGGCCAGACUCCUACGGGAGGCAGCAGUGUGGAAUAUUGGACGAUGGGGGGAAUCCUGAUCCAGCCAUGCCGCGUGUGUGAAGAAGGCCUUAUGGUUGUAAAGCACUUUAAGCGAGGAGGAGGUUCUUUUGGUUAAUACCCAAGAUGAGUGGACGUUACUCGCAGAAUAAGCACCGGCUAACUCUGUGCCAGCCGCCGCGGUAA